AAAGCAUAGUAAAUGCUCGCUUCUUUUUAGGAGAGGAAAGUCCGAGCUGCUAAAGACAAACAUUCCAUCUAACAGAUGGCUAGGGUAACCUAAGGGAUAGUGCAACAGAAAGAAAACUACCACGCAAGUGGAAAAGGUGAAACGGCGGGGGAAAAGCCCACCAGCGAUUUUGGUAACAAUUUCGGCUAUGUAAACCCAAUGUGCAGCAAGAAGGGAUGG
rnacentral:RNase_P_RNA from 1 species